rnacentral:rRNA from 1 species
UUUUGCUUGCAAACUAAAGGUGGCGACCGGCGCACGGGUGAGUAACACGUAUCCAACCUGCCGAUAACUCGGGGAUAGCCUUUCGAAAGAAAGAUUAAUAUCCGAUAGUAUAUUAAAACCGCAUGGUUUUACUAUUAAAGAAUUUCGGUUAUCGAUGGGGAUGCGUUCCAUUAGUUUGUUGGCGGGGUAACGGCCCACCAAGACUACGAUGGAUAGGGGUUCUGAGAGGAAGGUCCCCCACAUUGGAACUGAGACACGGUCCAA